GUCUGGCUGGCUCAGUUGGUAGAGCAUGUGACUCGAACUCAAGGUCAUGAAUUCAAGCCCCAUGUUGGGCA
rnacentral:tRNA from 1 species